rnacentral:rRNA from 1 species
AUGGCUCAGUAACACGUAGUCAACAUGCCCAGGGGACGUGGAUAACCUCGGGAAACUGAGGAUAAACCGCGAUAGGUCACUACUUCUGGAAUGGGUAAUGACCCAAACCUAUAUGGCCCCUGGAUUGGACUGCGGCCGAUCAGGCUGUUGGUGAGGUAAUGGCCCACCAAACCUGUAACCGGUACGGGCUCUGAGAGGAGGAGCCCGGAGAUGGGCACUGAGACAAGGGCCCAGGCCCUAUGGGGCGCAGCAGGCGCGAAACCUCUGCAAUAGGCGAAAGCUUGACAGGGUUACUCUGAGUGAUUUCCGUUAAGGAGAUCUUUUGGCACCUCUAAAAAUGGUGCAGAAUAAGGGGUGGGCAAGUCUGGUGUCAGCCGCCGCGGUAAUACCAGCACCCCGAGUGGUCGGGACGUUUAUUGGGCCUAAAGCAUCCGUAGCCGGUUCCACAAGUCUUCCGUUAAAUCCACCUGCUCAACAGAUGGGCUGCGGAAGAUACUAUGGAGCUAGGAGGCGGGAGAGGCAAGCGGUACUCGAUGGGUAGGGGUAAAAUCCGUUGAUCCAUUGAAGACCACCAGUGGCGAAGGCGGCUUGCCAGAACGCGCUCGACGGUGAGGGAUGAAAGCUGGGGGAGCAAACCGGAUUAGAUACCCGGGUAGUCCCAGCUGUAAACGAUGCAGACUCGGUGAUGAGUUGGCUUUAUGCCAACUCAGUGCCGCAGGGAAGCCGUUAAGUUUGCCGCCUGGGGAGUACGGUCGCAAGACUGAAACUUAAGGAAUUUGGCGGGGGAGCACCACAAGGGGUGAAGCCUGCGGUUCAAUUGGAGUCAACGCCGGAAAUCUUACCGGGGGCGACAGCAGAUGAAGGUCAAGCUGAGACUUUACCAGACAGCUGAGAGGAGGUGCAUGUCGUCGCCAGCUCGUGCUGUGGAGUGUCUGUAGUCAAGUACGAGCGGAGACCCUGCUUCUAGUGCUACCAUUAUUCCUCAGGAGUAGUGGGAGCUUAUUUAG